rnacentral:rRNA from 1 species
UACGUAGGGUGCAAGCGUUGUCCGGAAUUAUUGGGCGUAAAGAGCUCGUAGGCGGUUUGUCGCGUCUGCCGUGAAAUUUCGAGGCUCAACCUCGAACUUGCGGUGGGUACGGGCAGACUAGAGUGUGGUAGGGGAGACUGGAAUUCCUGGUGUAGCGGUGGAAUGCGCAGAUAUCAGGAGGAACACCGGUGGCGAAGGCGGGUCUCUGGGCAGUGAACUGACGCUGGAGGAGCGAAA